GAAAUGCGAUAAGUAAUGUGAAUUGCAGAAUUCAGUGAAUCAUCGAAUCUUUGAACGCACAUUGCGCCCCCUGGUAUUCCGGGGGGCAUGCCUGUUCGAGCGUCAUUUCACCACUCAAGCCUCGCUUGGUAUUGGGCGACGCGGUCCGCCGCGCGCCUCAAAUCGACCGGCUGGGUCUUUCGUCCCCUCAGCGUUGUGGAAACUAUUCGCUAAAGGGUGCCGCGGGAGGCCACGCCGUAAAACAACCCCAUUUCUGAGGUUGACCUCGGAUCAGGUAGGGAUACCCGCUGAACUUAAGC
rnacentral:misc_RNA from 1 species